rnacentral:rRNA from 1 species
GACGAACGCUGGCGGCGUGCUUAACACAUGCAAGUCGAACGAUGAAGAAAAGAAUCGCAGCUUCGGCAGAAAUUCAUUUCGGAUUAGUGGCAGACGGGUGAGUAACGCGUGAGCAACCUACCUCUUACAAAGGGAUAGCCUCGGGAAACCGGGAUUAAUACCAUAUAACAUUGCGACGAAGCAUUUCGAUGCAAUCAAAGCUAUGGCGGUAAGAGAUGGGCUCGCGUCCCAUUAACCGGAUGGUGAGGUAACGGCUCACCAUAGUGACGAUGGGUAACCGGCCUGAGAGGGUGAACGGUCACACUGGAACUGAGACACGGUCCAGACUCCUACGGGAGGCAGCAGUGGGGAAUAUUGCACAAUGGAGGGAACUCUGAUGCAGCGACGCCGCGUGAGUGAUGAAGGAAUUCGUUUCGUAAAACUCUGUUCUAUGGGAAGAAAAGGACUGUACCAUAGGAGAAAGCUCCGGCUAAAUACGUG